UGGUUAUUUGACUUUGGCAUUGUUUUUGACUUCCCAGUUUUCUGGCAUCCCUGACUCCUAGCUUUUCCUUAUCGUUGUGUCUCUUUCUGUUUCCUUUGACCUCGGCUAUUCCUGACUAUUCUUUGGUACGUUAGUUCGGCCAUCCUAAGGUCCGGCAUACGUUACCUAUCAGUCCUCUGUGUUACACAAUUCUACGUUCUGUAAUCCUG